GUGAGCCGUCCUCCUUAUGCUGAGAAGGGCAUCUCGCGCCGUGACACCAUCUGUGGUUACUGCUCCCGGCCAGGUCACCCAGAGUCUGAUUAUCACCGAAAGAAGCGAGACCAGAGGCACUCCUCCUCCAGCGGGACUCCUGUGUCCUCCUCGACUCCGUCACUCACUGACCAGGACAUUGUUCGCCUCAAGCGUCUUCUUGCUUCCUCAGGCUCCUCGUCGACUGCUUCUGCUACUGUUGUGACUGCAUCCCCUUCCUCACCAUCACCGGCAUCUACACAGUCAGGUACAUCUUCGUGGGUUUUGGAUUCUGGAGCCUUCUUUCAUAUGUCUUCUGAUUCUUCCGCGUUGUGUUCUUUAGUUCGUCAGGGCCUCUUAGGGUAUGUAUCUGGAGAUGUCUCCUUACAUUGUAAUGGUUGCAGACUUGGCAAACAGACUCAGUUACCUUAUCCUACUAGUGAUUCUGUAUCUCAGCGUCCUUUUGACUUAGUUCAUUAUGAUGUCUGGGGUCCUGCUCCCUUUGAUUCGAAAGGUGGUCAUUGCUACUAUGUUUUGUUUAUUGAUGAUUUCUCUCGCUACAAUUGGCUCUACUUCAUGAAAUCUCGUAGCGAGGUUCUCCCUAUAUACAAACGUUUUGCUGCCAUGGUUCACACCCAGUUUGCCACGCCCAUUCGUACUUUUCGUGCUGACUCCGCUGGAGAGUAUAUCUCUUAG
rnacentral:rRNA from 1 species